rnacentral:rRNA from 1 species
UAAUACGUAGGUGGCGAGCGUUGUCCGGAUUUACUGGGCGUAAAGCGCGCGCAGGCGGACCGGUUAGUCCGGGGUGAAAUCUCACGGCUCAACUGUGAGAGGCCCUCGGAAACUGCCGGUCUUGAGGUGCCUAGAGGAGAGUGGAAUUCCCGGUGUAGUGGUGGAAUGCGUAGAUAUCGGGAGGAACACCAGUGGCGAAAGCGACUCUCUGGGGGCAACCUGACGCUGAGGCGCGAAAGCGUGGGGAGCGAACCGGAUUAGAUACCCGGGUAGUCCACGCCGUAAACGAUGAGUACUAGCUGUCGGGGGUAUCGACCCCCUCGGUAGCGAAGCUAACGCGAUAAGUACUCCGCCUGGGGACUACGGCCGCAAGGCUA